UCUAUUCUAUAUUUUUCCUUACUAACCAUAAAGAAAUAAUAGUAAGACUUAUAAAAUAUAAAGCACUACAGAUUUUAGUUACGCAAUUAGAGGAGUGAUAUAUAGAUAUGUGUAUGUAGUUAUAUUUCUGGAAAUAUAACAAUAUAUUCAAUAUGUGACCGCGUGUGUAUCGUUGGCGAUUUUUUCCCUCCGUCUUCCCUUCCUUGGAUCUUUCCUUUUUCUGUGUUCCUGACGAGGAGCUUCGCUCGAAACGUUAAAUCCUUCUUUCUUUCCUUUCCCGAGCGUCCAAUAACACUAUACUUGUUCCACGUCCUUGCGUUGUUGUGUUUUCUCUUUGUUUUCAUAUAUAUAUAUAUAUAUAUAUAUAUAUAUAUAUAUAUAUAGUGACUGUGUGGUAAGAAGCUUGAUUCCCAACCACAUGGUUCCGGGUUCAGUCCUACUGCGUAGCACCUUGAGCAAGUGUCUUCUACUAUAGCCUCGGCCCGACCAAAGUUUUGCGAGUAUAUUUGGUAGAUGGAAACUGAAAGAAGCCCAUCAUAUAUAUAUAUAUAUAUAUAUAUGUGUGUGUAUUGGUGUCAAUGUGUUUGCUUUCAUCCCCCUCCCCAUCGUUUGACAACCGAUGUUGGUAAAUUUACGACGACGAAGCAAUUGGUCGGACGCGAUGUUUCGAGUGGUACGGGCGCUUCAAAAGCAGAAGAACGUCCAUAGAAGACAAUGAGCGAUCUGGAGACCCUGCUACGAGCGUCACCCCCGGAAAUAUGGAGAAAAUUCAUCAGCUAGUGCACGAGGAUUGUCGGAGGACAAUCAACGACAUUGCUGAUGUUGGUCUGUCGUAUGGGUCUGUGCAGGCAAUUCUCACCUCUGAAUUGAACAUGCGGCGUAUCUCUGCCAAGUUUGUGCACCACCUACUGACCAUUGAGCAGAAAGAAUAUCGCGUCGAAGUCUGUCAAGAUCUCUGUCAGUGUGCCGCUGAUGACCCAUCCUUCAUGUCGAGGAUCAUCGUCGGUGAUUAGAGCUGGGUCUACGGGUACGACCCUGAGACGUAGCAGCAGCCGUCACAAUGGAAGAACCCUUCAUCUCCACGACGGAAGAAAGCACGACAGAGCCGCAACUCAAUCAAGACCAUGCUCAUCGUUUUUUUUUUUUUUUUUUUUUUCCCCGAUAUCCACGGUAUUUUGCAUCGAGAAUUCGUUCCUCAAGACCGGACCGUCAAUCAAAAGUUCUACUGCGACGUUUUGAAGCGCCUGAGGGAAGACAUUCGGCGAAAUCGACCGGAUCUGUGGAGUACGAAGAAUUGGAUUCUUCACAACAAUGUACCCUGUCGCCGUGCUCUCCUCACUCGUGAGUUUCUCGCCAAAAACAACAUGGUAUUGCUUCCGCAACCGCCAGAUUUAGCACCCGCGGACUUCCAUCUCUUCCUCAAGAUGAAGAUGCAACUCAAAGGUCGCCGUUUUAACACCAUUGUCGAGAUCCAGAGUGAAUCGCAAAAGGUCCUCGACUCGCUCACGGAAAACGACUUCCGGGCCGGAUUCCAAAAAUGGAAGGAACUCUGGGAUGGGUGUACUGUUGCGCAAAGUGACUAUUCCGAUGGAGAUGAUGUUAAAACUUAGGUAAAUAAGUUAUUUUUUAUUAAACAUAACAAGUCCUGGAACUUUUUGGUGCCACCUUGUAUAUAAAAUAUAUACGAGCAAACAAUUUUUUUUUUUAGAAAUCUUCACUACUCCCAAAAUAUCUAAUAAAGUACAUGCAAAACUCAGUUACUUAAUUCUAGGAGUGGCUGUGUGGUAAGUAGCUUGCUUACCAACCACAUGGUUCCGGGUUCAGUCACACUGCGUGGUACCUUGGGCAAGUGUCUUCUACUAUAGCCUCGGGCUGACCAAAGCCUUGUGAGUGGAUUUGGUAGACAGAAACUGAAAGAAGCCUGUCGUAUAUAUAUAUAUAUAUAUAUAUAUAUAUAUAUACAUCGCUUGGCAACCGAUGGUGAUGUGUUUACGUCCCCAUAACUUAGCGGUUCGGCAAAAUAGACCGAUAGAAUAAGUACUAGGCUUACAAAGAAUAAGUCCUGGGGUUGAUUUGCUCGACUAAAGGCGGUGCUCCAGCAUGGCCGCAGUCAAAUGACUGAAACAAGUAAAAGUUCUAUUUACAUACUGCUAAUUAUAUUUUUGAAAUUAGGUGUUAAUCGUCGGUAAAUAACAUCUAAUUGAAUCCAGAGAAACAUUUUCAAUUAAUUAUGGUUCCUUAGUGAGUGACGAAGAUUAAACUUUCAGUGUCCCGAAUAGGUAUCAGAUUCUAAAAUGGCUCAAGUUUCAAAUUUUGUAGAAGUGAAGUCACAAAUAAAUUAAAUUUUGGGAUAUAAAACUUUCAAUGACACCUUUAAUUUUUUUUUCUAAUAUCAUGACUUAAAACCACAAUGGAAUUCAAAUAUGAAAAAAAAACAAAAAGGCUGUAUUGACUUUAUAUUAUGAACCUCAACAUAUUUUUAGCUUGUUUGAUUUUCUCCUAAUUACGUAAACGGUGACGGUAAAGGAUACGCACACCACCCGUUUUCAGCGUAAGAAAAACCCUAACCACCGCAUGUGCGUAUUCUUUAUCUUCGGCACAUAAAUAGUCCUUGCAUGCCUUUUUCAUACACGAAAUUCUGGUUGUGACAAAAGAAGGGCUUCAAAGUGGCACGGAAGAUUUUAAACUGCUAAAGUAUAUUUUGGCCGAAGUUAUUAGCACCCCGUCCUACGUCAACAUUAUUCACGACCCUAGCUUCGGUCUGUGACUCUUCCAAUCAUUUACGCUAACAAUAAUGGGUUAAUGUUUACUUUUAACUCCCGGUCACCAAAAAAAACAACAAAAAAACAAGUGUAAUAGGUGUAAAAAAAAUGUGUUUUAAACGAAUACGAAAGCAAAAAUUUGGAUGGGGAGAGGACUUUCGGAAAAUUCACAUGAUGCUAUUUUUUCCCUCAUUAUAACUUUUUUGGAAAAUGGAUAUCUUUUAAUGAAAUUUUAUAUAAAUACCUUUCAAACGGCAUAGAUUACAAUUAUAAAGAAAUUUGCGGGGAAAUUUUUUUUCCGAGGAGGGAGGACUUUCAAGGAGAAAGAAAUUCAUAAAUUAUUUUUUUGCUUGAGUGUAUGGAAAUAAGUUAGAAAAAAAAUUUUAGAUUCAUCAAUUUUUCGUUUGAGUAAUAGGAAAAAAGUUUUAAAAAAGAUCCCAACGGUGGAGAUGUGCUAAAAACAACAGCUAAAUCGCCCAUAACAUUUCUUUUCGUUAGUGAAACCAUAUUCAACACUGUAUUUAUGAAUUUGUUUCUCUCACUAUGAUACAUAACUUAGAUUGGUUUCGGCCAGUAGCACCACCCGGUAAAGACUUUUAGUUAAUUAUUUCAGGACACCAUGGACCACUCAAGCAGAGAGUUGUUGGUUGAGAUGUAUCCAGGUGUAGGUGGUCUAUCCAGUAUUUCGUGGAGGAAUUUGUCCAGGUACUGUUUGAAAGUUGUGGGGUUGUUUUCUACUUUAAUUUCUUUCGGGAUAACAUUGGGAAGAGCAGGACCAUUUGCAGUGAAGAAUUUGUCGCAAUGUUCUUAUGCGAUGUAAUCUCGACCUUUAUAGGGGAUGCAUUGCACGGGGGCCUAGUCUUGGGUAAAUUGUAAACAUAAUACCAAUAUCAUUUGGAUAAUAUUGGUGAAAUAUUUUCCACAUGGUGCAAAUAAUGUAUUGCUCAUGGCAGUGUUGCCAAGAAUAAAGUUUCAGCUGUUUAAGUUGAGCCCAAUAAUCAAGUCCCAUCAUGCCAUUUAUUUUUCUUGUGAUUGAUCUUUGUGGCUCUUUGAUCCUCGUUAUGUCUUGUUUCUUGUAGGGAGACCACAAUGGGCAGCAGUAUUCAAGGUGGGGCCUAGCGAAUGUGGAGAGAAUAGAGAAGAGAAGGAUGAUGGUUCCAUGAUCCCUAGAUUGAAAAGUUCUGAGGAUCCAUGAGCACAUUCUGCGAGCAACAUCGACUUUUUUGUUGAUGUGCACACUCCAGCUAAAGUUGCUGUCGAUAGUUACACCUAAAUCUCUGAUAUUUGAUGGUUCAAGUAGGUCUCCCAACGGUAGUGUAUAUGGCUGUUUGAGUGUGCCCUCAUUUCCAAACUGCACAUUGUUUUUUGUGCCCACUGGGUUACUGCGCAUAGGUCCGAUUGAAGCGUUAUUCGAUCAUAUGCUCCCUUAAUGACUUUCUGGAGCUUAGAGACUUCUGCAAAUGUUUUAAUUGUGCUAUGUUCAAUGGAAUCGGCAAUGUCAUUGAUAUAGAUAAUAAAAAGAAGUGGACCCUUUCUCUUUGAAAGUCUUCUCUCCACCCACUCAGAAAAAUUUUCCCCAUAAAUUUCUUUAUAAUCAUAAUCUAUGCUGUUUGAAAUGUAUAUAUAUAAAAUUUCAUCAAAAGAUAUCCAUUUCCCUAAAAGUUAUGAGGGGGAAAAAAUCGGAUCUUGUGAAUUUUCUGAAAGUCCUCUCCCCACUCCCAGUUCGUUGGUACAAAUUUUUGUUUUCAUAUUCGUUUAGUACACACUUUUUUACACCUAUUGCAUUUGUUUUUAUUUUUUGUUUUGGUGACCAGGAGUUAAGGUAAACAUUAACCCCGGUUAAUGUUUACUUUAACUACACUUCAAAUUACUUCACUAAACAUGUCAAUUCCUGGCUAUUAUGCCUAGAGUACAGAUUUAGUGUGUGCUCAUCAGAUUUUUGUUUUCACCAAAUGCAUUAAGUUUUACCAAAAGCUUUGUGAUAUUCAAGCUCAAAUCAUCCAGAAGAUUCAGCAGGCUUUGGCAAUGAUGCCACGGCAAAACUCAGAUCAAGGAGAAGUACAACUGCUUCAAACAUGGCUGCACCUCAGUGAAGAGCAAGGCAUGCUCAGGCAGGCCAUCCACAAGCCGAAAUGAGGAACCGAUCAGGAAGAUUUCACAAAUAAUCAUGAAAGACUGUUGUGUAAUAAACUAGGAAAUUGCUCAUGAAGUCGAAACAAGCACAAGAUCAGUGCAUUCCAUUUUAACAGAGGAUUUGUUCAUUCAGAAGGUGUCAUUCCCAAGGUGCUGGGAGAGCAGCAGAAUCAACUCCACAUGGAAAUCACUCAAGACAUGUUGGACAGCGCAGACCAUAAUCUGAACUUCGUGAAGACCUAACUUUCAUCAUUGUUAAUGUUGUUUUGGGAGCAUUGGUAGUGCACUUCUGUACUGCUGUGUAUCAUCUGGUCAAGUUAACUUCAAAUUUUGUCAUCUAUCUUCUUGACUAUCAUAUUUCUCCUCACCAAGCACUUUAUUUAUUUAUCAUCAUCAUCAUCAUCGUUUAAUGUCCAUUUUCCACGCUGGUAUGGGUUGGACAGUUUGACUGAGGUCUGGAGAGCCAGUUGCUGCACCAGGCUCUAAACUGAUCUGGUAAUGUUUCUACAGUUGGAUGCCCUUCCUAACGCCAACCACUCCAAGAGUGUAGUGGGUGCUUUUUAUGUGCCAUCAGCACAGGAGCCAGUCAGGCAGGGCUGGCAUCGAUCACAUUUGGAUAGUACUUUUUAAGUGCCUCUGGCACAGGGACCAGUCCAAGGGUGCUGACAUUGGCCAUGUUCAGAUGGUGCUUUUUAUGUGCCACCAGCACGGGAACCAGUCAGUGGGUACUGGCAUUGUCCUCAUUCAGAUGGUGCUUUUUAUGUGCCACAGGCACAGGAGCCAGUUGGUCAGACCUGGCAUCAACCACGUUCAGAUGUUGCUUUUUAUGUGCCAGUCAGAGGCCACUGGCCGCAGCUACAAUAUUGGUUUAACUUGACUCAACAGGUCUUCCCACAUAUCAUAUCACCCGACACAUUGGAGGUACUCUUAACUGGGCCAUACAUGUAUGGCUGUGAUCUCACUUUAGUUGCUGGGUCUUCUCAAUCACAGCCUAUCUCCAAAAGUCUUGGUCUCCUGUCAUUGCCUCUAUGAGGUCCAAUGUUUGAAAGUUAUGCUUCACCACUUCAUCCUAUGUCUUCCUGGGUCUAAAUCUUCCACAGGUUCCUUCCACAGUUAGGAAGUGGCACUUCCUCACACAGCUCUUCUCAUCCAUAUGGAACACAUGACCAUACAAACGCAGUCGUCUCUCUUGCACACCACAUUUGAUACUUUUUAUGCCCAACUUUUCUCUCAGAGUGCUUACAUUCUGUCAUGUAUGCACACUGACAUUACACAUCCAGCAGAUCUUACUAGCUUCAUUUCUUUCAAACCUACACAUGUCCUCAACAGUCAUGGCCCAUGUUUCACUGCUGUGUAGCAUGGCAGUUCACACACAUGCAUCAUACAUACAGUCUACCUUUCAACCUGAGCGAGAGGCCCUUGCCAGCAGAGGUAGGAGCUCCCUGAACUUUGCCCAGGCUAUUCUUAUUCUAGUCGCUACACUCUCAGAGCAACCACCUCUACUACAGACUUGGUCACCUAAGUAGUGGAAGCUAUUAACUACUUCUAGUUUCUCCGUCUGGCAUGUAACGGAAUCUGUUUUCUGUAUAUCUUCCGUGUUUAUUGCCCCUGUGCAUCUGCCACACACAAAAACUAUCUUCCUGGUUAACCUUCCUUUGAUAUUGCUGCACCUUUUAUGUGUUCAUAGCUAACACUAGGUACAUCGUAUGGAGUUUCUGCCCAUGCCUUUUCUACAGAUCAAGCAGGGCCAUCUACCUGAAGGGGGUUUUGAUUUGACAGCCUUCCUACUUACUAAGACUGGUUUUUGCUAGGUUAACCCUAAAGCCCUUCUAUUCUAGACUUUGCUUCUACACCCUAAACUUCGUCUUUAGUUCUGGCAAUGACUCAGCUAUUAGAAUAAAGUCAUCAGCAUAGAGGAGCUCCCAGGGGCAGCUGGACAGCUGUUAUUGCCUGGAGGACUAUAAUGAACAAGAGGGGGCUGAUCCUUGGUGAACCCCUACGUCUACUCGGAAUUCUUCACUAUACUCGUUACCAACCCUCACCUUACUGACAGCAUCCCUGUACAGGGUUUGUACAACUCUUCCCAACCACUCGUCUAUCCCCAGUUUCCGCAUUGACCACCAGAUAAGGGAUUGGGUCACCCUGUUAAAGGCUUUCUCUUCGUCAACAAAAGCCAAGUACAGAGGUUUAUCUUUGGCUAGAUAUUUCUCCUGCAGUUGCCUGACUUGUUAAAAAUAGAAGCCAAAUCUCUUUCAACCAAGACAAAGAAUUGAGGGGUCUUUUUACUUCUAAAAGCUGAAAUAUUUUGAUGGUUAGCUGAUUUAAGAAAUAGUUCAAUAAUCUUAGAACAGAUCAAUGGUUAGUUUUAUGGCCAGUCCAAACACAAGUUUGUGUUGAGAUGAAAGUAUGAAGUGUCUGUAUUUGUAUAGAAUUUUUCACAAAGGUAUGCAAUUUUCUUAAUUUGGAUGUUAGCAUCUGUUUCGAGAUACUUUUUUUUUUAACAUUUGUCUUAUAUUACAUUAUUAUAUCAAUGACAUUUCUUUAUGAAAUUAUCUGGAUUUAUCUUUCUUUUCUUUUCAUUAACAGAUGCAACCAGAAUUUAAUGUUGAAAGCCUAUAUUACUAUUUACUCCUGUUCCCAGCAACUGUGGUAGUUAUUGUUGUAUGUUUAUUUCUGAACUGGUUUGGACUGAAACUUUUCCAACACAACUAAACCCACCACUGAAGAAUUUGUCGAGGAGCUAUGUGCAUGAGAAAUGUUAAUAUUAUUUAAAUAAAACAUUUUAAAUUGGUGUAAAAAUAGAUUUUUAAAACUGAUGAUUUAUAAAUUAAAAGAAAGAAUCCAGAUAUAUGAAAGGAGAUUUUGUUUAUGUUUUAUCAUAUAGAUAUAGUAAUAGGGAAAUAUAAUUAUAUGUCAAAACCCUUGUGCACCAAUGAGCUGAGUGUGAUGAACAUGCUGUCAUUGUAAAAGGGAGAAGUUAUUCCCCUGUGAUAUGUCCUACAACGACCAGUAUAUUUUGUGUCUGAGACUGCCCUGACGUGUUAAGAAUAAAUAUGCAAAUAUUUCAGAUCUUGU
rnacentral:lncRNA from 1 species